CUGUCAGUGGAUAUUUUCUGGUGAUCAUGCCUCCAUGCGCCAGGCGAUCUCCAGUAUGGAGCAAUGCCGAGGUGGACCUCAUCAGUGUUUGCUGGGAGGAAGCUGUCCAGUCCCAGCUGCACUCCAGCUGUAGGAAUUAUGAUAUCUUUGGGCAGAUAUCAAGGGACAUGAUGGAAAGCGACCAUGACCAGGACACAUUGCAGUGCAAGGUUAAAGUGAAGGAGUUGCAGAAUGCCUGCCGCAAAGCCUGCAAGGCAAACCACCACUCCGGUGCUGCCCCCAUGACCUGCCGUUUCUACAAAGAGCUGGACGCAAUACUUGGGGGCAACCCCACCUCCACUCUGAGGACCACCAUGACACUUCAGAGCCCAGAUCAACAAGACAGGAGGAGGAGGAGGAGGAAAGCGGGAGCAAGGGUGCUGAGGAGGAGGAAGACACCCCCGGCACCCCUAGACGCAUGCAGCCAGCAGCUGUUCUCAAGCCAAGAGGAAGGUAGCCAGUCGCAGUGGUCGGUGCUUGGGGAAGGACAAACA